UCAUGUGAGGGUGUUCUGGCUGAGAUAUCUGUCACCCUAUUGACUGACAGGUUGAUUCUACUGAUCUGGCUGUCUAGGCAGAUGUUCUCUUCCUUCAUCACCUCUGCUUCUGUGCUCCUCCCAAAGCUUUGAGCUAGUUCAAAUAGAACCACCUUCCCUGAAUGGAGGAGGACUGGUCUCGGUCAAGGUUAUGGGAGCAGCUGCGCUCCCCUGCUAGAACCUCCAAAUAAGAUCAUUUUUAUAAGCUGCAUGUUAUGCUAAGCUACAGAUCGACCAAUACUGUUGAAUACUUCAUGAGGUUAGACACUUUUUUC
rnacentral:snRNA from 1 species